rnacentral:rRNA from 1 species
AACGAACGCUGGCGGUAUGCUUAACACAUGCAAGUCGAACGAGGUAGCAAUACCUAGUGGCAAACGGGUGAGUAAUACAGAGGAAUCUACCUAGCAGUAAGGAAUAACCCUGAGAAAUCAGGGCUAAUACCAUAUAUUACCCUUCGGGGGAAAGAUUUAUCGCUGUUAGAUGAGCCUCUGCCGGAUUAGCUAGUUGGUAGGGUAAUGGCCUACCAAGGCAAUGAUCCGUAGCUGGUCUGAGAGGAUGAUCAGCCACACUGGAACGGAGACACGGUCCAGACUCCUACGGGAGGCAGCAGUGGGGAAUAUUGGACAAUGGGCGCAAGCCUGAUCCAGCAAUACCGCGUGAGUGAUGAAGGUCUUCGGAUUGUAAAGCUCUUUUAGUAGAGAAGAUAAUGAUGGUAUCUACAGAAAAAGCACCGGCAAACUUCGUGCCAGCAGCCGCCGUAA